rnacentral:rRNA from 1 species
CUGAAGAGGGGUUUGCGUCUGAUUAGCUGGUUGGAGGGGUAACGGCCCACCAAGGCGACGAUCAGUAGCCGGUCUGAGAGGAUGAACGGCCACACUGGAACUGAGACACGGUCCAGACUCCUACGGGAGGCAGCAUG